CGAGGGGCCCGCGGGCAGAACGAGAAGAGCGGUCCCAUUCGCCAUGAACGUCCGUCCCUCGUCUGGCGCGGCUUAGGCCCGGCCCGGGAGAGCGCGAGAGCACCACAUCGAUCUGGCAAAACACAAGCGCCGAGAGGAGCCCGAGGAGGGGAGAAGCCGGUGAGGACAGCAACCCGAGGGGGAGCCUGUUUGGUUUUGUUUUUUUUCGGCCUCACCGGCACCCCCUCGAAAACCCCAGGGCAGGAACAGCCGGACAACCCGAGAGAGAGGAACGCCUGACACGCGGCACGGAGCCUUGCGGGACGGGAGGUUGUCACGACCACAGCCGGGUGCCCGCAGAGUGGAGGACACAGGGUAAAGGACCCACGCGCCACCUGCCCACAACCGCCCUCGGGUGCUGGAGACCGGAGGCGGCACCAACGGCCUGGGCCACCUGGAGGCACAGGAGCCGGCGCACAGGCCCACGCGGACGGCUCAGGCCAGCGACGGCAGAGCCGGGCUUGGCAUCCCUGUCAAGCCCGGAGCCCCGCCACACGCCCAGAAGCCCACCUCCCUUAAGGAGAGGAUCGCCCAAACAUAACGUGCCAGCACCUACCUGGCGGCAAAAAGGGCUCAUUUCGGGCGAGAAAAUAGCCGCGCCGCCUGGCGUGGCCUAGCCACAGGUCACCGGGAUCUCCUGGGACCGUGUCCCGGCCACGGGCCCCAAGCACUAAUCCAUCGCCCCCGUCUCCCCCCGGAGCCCCCCCCGCCCCCCCCCCCCCCCGGGCCAUCUGGUCGACCCCCGGAACGUGGUGGCAGCCGGCAGCGAGUAGGGACUUGGCGGGAGGUGGAGCGGCCCGGAUAGGCCCGCCCCCGGGUCCGCCUUUCGUCCCCAAAUCGGGACUUUAGAAAUUCUCACCAAGUUCUGUGGAGGCCCCUGCGGACGCCCUCCUCCCCGGGCCUCAGGACCGCCCCAUGCCGGUCCCCGACUCCCGGCCGGGACUGAGGAAAGGGGGCGAUGCCGCGGAGGCGUCCCCCCGAAGGCCGGACCUCAACGGGAACCGCAGCCGGGCCCCUGGGGCCCUCGCGGCCCGGCCCGGCCCGGCCCGACCCGGUCGGGUCCCCACCUCCGCAGCGGGCCUCGGAAAACUUGUUAAGAAUAUCGGGUCCGGGGCGCCUGGGUGGCUCAGUUGGUUAAGCGACUGCCUUCGGCUCGGGUCAUGAUCCUGGAGUCCCGGGAUCGAGUCCCGCAUCGGGCUCCCUGCUCGGCGGGGAGUCUGCUUCUCCCUCUGACCCUCCUCCCUCUCAUGCUCUCUGUCUCUCAUUCUCUCUCUCUCAAAUAAAUAAAUAAAUAAACAAAAACCUUAAAAAAAAAAAAAAAUAUCGGGUCCGAUGACCGGGACCCCACGCGUGCCCGCGGCGGGGCCCGUCGCGCCAUCCAUGGGCUUCCCCGCAAGGCUCAGGCCGGUCCCCAACCGCCCGAGCGUGACACGGAAGGCCCAACGGCCGACCGGAGCCACGGGCCGGAUGGCGUCCGGGCGCCCGACGCAGCCUCUCCCAUUCCCGCGGGCGGAGGAGGGGGCACCGGCGGGUGCUGGUCGACCCGUCCAGGCGGCCACCCUAGCGUGGCUCUCCGGGAGCGAGGCGGCGGCGCCACCACCAGCCCACAAACCUGGAGGCUCAAUCUCCCGCGAGCGGAGGUCGCGCCGGUGGCCCGGAGACAGCGGGCCGAUCUCGCUAGCGUCGCCGGCCUCCCGGUACUCCGCCUCGGGAACCGCGGCCAAAUACAAUCCCUUGCCGACAUCGCUGACACUCCGGCGGGGACACGCUAUCUAAAAGCGGCCGCCAGGUGGCACCCGACAACCGGCGCGAACAACAACGAGGCAGAUCCGGAUCGCGGGCCCGCGAAGGCGCACAGCCCGGCCGCCCGGCCGCCCGAUCUCGUGGGGCACGGGCCUCCCACAGCGGCACACCUGCGGCGCCCGGGCUUCCGGGAGGACUUAAGACACAUUUCGGCGGGCAAGGACCGUAAAACCGAGACCAAGCGAGUACUCCGACAACCACCACGGAUGAACCUUCUCUCUUCUAUCAUUUUAAGGGGAGGAGGAGGUCUCUCUGAAGCAUACGAAGAAAGCUCAGGACAGGAAGGGGGGGGGGGGAUUGACACACACCCCCAGAAAGGAAAGAAUGUCCAAUGGAACAAAGACAGUCUCUUCAACAAAUGGUGUUGGGAAAAUUGGAUAGCCACAUGCAGAAGAAUGAAACUGGACCAUUUCCUUACACCACACACAAAAAUAGACUCCAAAUGGUUGAAAGACCUCAAUGUGAGACAGGAGUCCAUCCAAAUCCUAAAGGAGAACACAGGCAGCAACCUCUUUGACCUCAGCCAAAGCAACUUCUUCCUAGAAACAUCGCCAAAGGCAAGGGAAGCAAAGGCAAAAAUGAACUCUUGGGACUUCAUCAAGAUAAAAAGCUUUUGCAAAGCAAAGGAAACAGUCCACAAAACCAAAAGACAACCGACAGAAUGGGAGAAGAUAUUUGCAAAUGACAUAUCAGAUAAAGGGCUCGUAUCCAAAAUCUAUAAAGAACUCAUCCAACUCAACACCCAAAGAACAAAGAAUCCAAUCAAGAAAUGGGCAGAAGACAUGAACAGACAUUUUUCCAAAGAAGACAUCCAAAUGGCCAACAGACACAUGAAAAAGUGCUCAAUAUCGCUCAGCAUCAGGGAAAUCCAAAUCAAAACCUCAAUGAGGGCGCCUGGGUGGCUCAGUUGGUUAAGCGACCGCCUUCGGCUCGGGUCAUGAUCCUGGAGUCCCAGGAUCGAGUCCCGCAUCGGGCUCCCUGCUCAGCGGGGAGUCUGCUUCUCCCUCUGAUCCUCCUGACCCUCCCCCCUCUCAUGCUCUCUUUCUGUCUCUCUCUCUCUCUCAAAUAAAUAAAUAAAAUCUUAAAAAAAAAAAAAAAAA